AUGUCUGUAUGAAUUGGAUAUUUAGUCUGACCUGCCCACUGAGGUUUAAAGGGCUGCGGUAAUUUGACCGUGCAAAGGUAGCAUAAUCAAUAGUCUUUUAAUUGGAGGCUUGAAUGAAAGGUUUGACGGAGGAGAAGCUGUCUUUUUAUUAAAAUUGAAUUUAACUUUUGUGUAAAAAGGCAUUAAUGAUUUAGAGGGACGAUAAGACCCUAUAAAACUUUAUAUAUUAUAUUUAUUUAAUAAAAUAGUUAAUUAAUUAUUGGUGGUUAAUUAUAUUUUGCUGGGGUGGCAGGAAUAUAAUUCUAACUGUUUUAAAUGUAAAAUAUUUAUUAAUAGAGAGUGGUCCUUUGUUUGAGAGAUGAGAGUAAGUUACUUUAGGGAUAACAGCAUAAUUUCUUUUGAGAGUUCUUAUCGAAGAUGGUAGUUGUGACCUCGAUGUUGAAUUAAAUUUUCCUUUUAAUGUAGGAGUUUUAGGGGAGGGCCUGUUCGGCCUAUAAAUAUUU
rnacentral:rRNA from 1 species